rnacentral:rRNA from 1 species
GAUGAACGCUGGCGGCGUGCCUAAUACAUGCAAGUCGAGCGAAGCGGGGACGGGUGAGUAACACGUGGAUAACCUCCUAUAAGACUGGGAUAACUUCGGGAAACCGGAGCUAAACCGGAUACUUAUACAUGGUUCCGCUCGGCAUUAGCUAGUUGGUAAGGUAACGGCUUACCAAGGCAACGAUGCCUAGCCGACCUGAGAGGGGGAGCGGCCACACUGGAACUGAGACACGGUCCAGACUCCUACGGGAGGCAGCAGUAGGGAAUCUUCCGCAAUGGGCGAAAGCCUGACGGAGCAACGCCGCGGGAGUGAAGAAGGUCUUCGGAUCGUAAAACUCUGUUAGUAGGGAAGCGGUACCUAAUCAAAAAGCCACGGCUAACUACGGGCCAGCAGCCGCGGUAAUAC